UCAACUCACGAGCGUGGGGAUUUAUUGACAAAUUGUAUUUUUGGCCUCGACUUGAGGAAGAGAACGGUUCACAUGCGCGGUUUAACCCUUUAAAUGCGGAACUGGAGUUGAUAUGAAGUGGUUUUUGCACCUUAACCGAACCGAGCGUAAAUCGAUUCUAUACUUCUACUAAAACAAAACGCUGUUAUAUACCGUAGUUCCUGUAUUAAAUAGGCCUAAGUAAGCGUCCUUUAUGUUGAUACUGAUCUAAUGAUAUUAUAACUUUAAAUCGGUUUCCUCAUUAUCAUUUACACUUUAUUCAGUGUUACUUUGUGUUUACUUCCACUCAUUGUUUGACAAGGUUCAUUAGACAUAAUCGUAAUUAAAAUGCUGUAUAGAUUCACCCAUACAUUUAUGAGCAAAUUAUUUGAUUAAUGCUGUUGAUUCUAUUUCAGAGCGGAACGGUGUCCUGCAUUACUGUCAUGUCAGGUAAACCUUGAGUCUCUGGAAAUGAUGCUUCAUUGAUUUUUCAAUAUAUUUUAGUCAUUGUGAUUAUCAUCCGCCUGCCCUCAUUGUAUUGUCCUAGGGCAAAGUCCUACAUCCUUACAUCCACAUCCACAGUUUCACCGCGAUUGCUCCUACAAGCAACAGCAUGAGAGUGCAAUGUCCAGGCAGGAGACCACAACAUGGUUUCCCAAUUAUAGUUCUGUGUGUAUAAAGCAGAUGCGACAUGUAGAUAGUUGUCUAUUAGGUAAAGGCAUGAGAAUCUCCAGACACCUAAUUAUUUGUGAUGGCCUUUGGAUAAUUUUUUUUACAAUGUCUUCCGGUCAUUAUAUCCAAGGUGCUUUCAUAUUAGGCCUAAGCAAAGUACCAUGAACACUGAUACAUGUCAUAAAGACAUGCCAGAACAUUUACACUGUGAUUUGUAUAUCUUAACACCACCCCUAUUUAUCUACAUACCAUCUUUGAAAAAAGUUGUAGAGAGAAGAUGACCAUAUGUGUAUCAUAUAUUUAGUUGCAUGUAAUGUCAAAUAUAGAUUGCCCCGCAUCCCAAAUUCUAUGUCUCCUGGGUGGUAUUUCUGCUAAAACGGGUGUUCAUUUACCGUUAAUCUUGGGUGAAACGAUCCUAAUAGCAGAGCUUGUGGGGGGAGAUGGCACAGAGGCCAGAAGAUAUCAUACCGAAGAGAAACUAACUAAUGAAAAUGAAGGGGACUUCAAUAAGAGAAUUCCUAAAGUCUAGUCUACACGUUGUCAAUCUGAAAACUUUCCAUACACUUUUCCUGGGAGCUUCGGUGUCCGGACAGGAUGCGGUGAGUUUGCGCUCGCUGUUAGCCAUGAAGCGGAGACUUCCAGACCCCCUUGUCUCCGACAUGAUCGCCCCAGACUGGAACUCUUCGGCUCGAAGCUCCACUCUCAGAGAAUCCAUCAGGAUUGUUUAUGAGAUCUCCGAAAGGCGUAACAGUGAUGACCUCACUCUGCCUCAGCCCCAGUGAAUCAUGGGAUACAGGAAGCAAGGUCUCUUAACGCCAGACACCCAGGGUCGGACCAGACGAUCAGCGCCUCAAACGCUGGCCCAAGACAAACCCUGCCCAACGGCCAGACUCGUUCAAUCUAUAAUGCAUGUCUGAUACAUAAAGGUCCCUGCAGGCCAAGAACAGAGAUUCCUGCUCCAGGCUCCUUCCUCCACAUUAAAGACACAUGACGGUGCAUCUCAGCCUUGGCGUGGGCCUUGGGUUCCCCGCCCCAGGCGACCGGCGCCCCCACCACCCCGUGGAAGCUGGACGGGCAGUACGGCCCGAACGGCGGCUCCAGAUAGUGCCCCGCUCCUGGGUACACCACCU